GAUGAAGAACGUAGCGAAAUGCGAUAAGUAGUGUGAAUUGCAGAAUUCAGUGAAUCAUCGAAUCUUUGAACGCACAUUGCGCCCCUUGGUAUUCCAUGGGGCAUGCCUGUUCGAGCGUCAUUUGUACCUUCAAGCUCUGCUUGGUGUUGGGUGUUUGUCUCGCCUCUGCGUGUAGACUCGCCUCAAAACAAUUGGCGGCCGGCGUAUUGAUUUCGGAGCGCAGUACAUCUCGCGCUUUGCACUCAUAACGACGACGUCCAAAAGUACAUUUUUACACUCUUGACCUCGGAUCAGGUAGGGAUACCCGCUGAACUUAAGCAUAUCAAUAAGCGGAGGA
rnacentral:misc_RNA from 1 species